GGAGAUGUAGCUCAGUGGCAGAGUGCUUGCCUAGCAUGCACGAAGCCCUGAAUUCAAUCCCUGGCACCACCA
rnacentral:tRNA from 1 species